UACGAAGGGGGCUAGCGUUGCUCGGAAUCACUGGGCGUAAAGCGCACGUAGGCGGAUCUUUAAGUCAGGGGUGAAAUCCUGGAGCUCAACUCCAGAACUGCCUUUGAUACUGAGGGUCUUGAGUUCGGGAGAGGUGAGUGGAACUGCGAGUGUAGAGGUGAAAUUCGUAGAUAUUCGCAAGAACACCAGUGGCGAAGGCGGCUAACUGGCCCGAUACUGACGCUGAGGUGCGAAAGCGUGGGGAGCAAACAGG
rnacentral:rRNA from 1 species